rnacentral:rRNA from 1 species
GCGAGAAGUCCAUUGAACCUUAUCNUUUAGAGGAAGGAGAAGUCGUAACAAGUUUCGUAGGUGAACCUGCGGAAGGAUCAUUG